CUGUUCUACACCAGACCAGUGGAGCCAAACUGCAGCCCAUCAUCAUCCUCAUCUGCUUGUAAGUAGGCAAUCUAGUAUAUUAUUAGUGACACUAAUCUAUAAUUUACCUCACAUUAAAGGGACACUAUAGCUUAAUGAAGUGGUUCUGGUGUCUAUAGCUGGUCCCUGCAGGCUUUUUAAUGUAAACACACACUGUGUGCAGCACUGGCGUUAGUUCAUAUGGCAGAUCAUAUGGGUGGGGCAUUGUGAUGUGAC